rnacentral:tRNA from 1 species
GGAAAUGUGCCCGAAGCUUAAGGGUUACUUUGAUAGAGUAAAUUAUAGAGGUUAAAAUCCACUCAUUUCCU